GCUCCCCUAGCUCAAUAGUGCAGAGCAGUCGCCUUUUAAGCGUCGGGUUGUGGGUUCGAGUCCCACGGGGAGUACCA
rnacentral:tRNA from 1 species